rnacentral:SRP_RNA from 1 species
CUGCGCUAGACGGAGAAUUAGCGGCGCUCUGUAACCUACAAUCCGCUACAGUAGGGUUGAACACCGUCCUCGGUUUGCGUAUGGGAGGUCUGUUACCGUUAGGUGGCGUUGAUGUUAAGGUCUUGUGCAACGUCUGCUUGCGAACCGUGUCAGGGCUUGACCGCAGCAGCACUAAACAAGAUGUGGCGUGUG